UUAUAAUUUUAAGUCUAAUCUGCCCAAUGAUAUUUUAUUUAAUGGCUGCAGUAUUUAUAACUGUACAAAGGUAGCAUAAUAAUUAGUUUUUUAAUUGAAAACUAGAAUGAAAGAUUAAAUGAAAUAUAUACUAUAUAAAUAAAAUUAAAAAUUAAAAUUAAAAUUUAAGUAAAAAUUCUUAAAUUAUUUUAAAAGACGAGAAGACCCUAUAGAAUUUUAUUUUUUAUUAUUUUAAAAUUUAAUAAUAAAUUUAAAUAAAUAAUAAAAAAUUUAAUUGGGGUAAUUUUAAAAUUAAAUUAAUUUUUAUUUAAAGAACAUAAAUUAAUGAAUUUUUAAUCAUA
rnacentral:rRNA from 1 species